CACAAGCCCAGGUCAAUUGGUGGCAAGUCCUCAGCACAGCAGGCUUUAAGGAGCACCUUAGGGUUCAGAGCAGACAUUUCCCUUUUUCUGCCUUGAUGUAGCAGAUCUCCUCCAGCAGCCUUGGCUGUGAUCUCCGCUUCCCUCACGCUCUGUCUUGGCUAUCUGCCUGCUCUCCUGCUGUCCUCAUCUGUAGGAGCUGUGCAGCUCAGCAAGAAACUAUUCUUCGUGUGCCCAUCACAGCACUGGAAGAAAAAGAAUACUGAGAGAGUUGCCUGAAAAGCAAAAGCAGCUCUUGUCGCAAUGCCAAAUUUAUUCUUUUAAGGGCUUCUGAUUUUACAAAAGGAAAUCCCCCAAACCAAAAGUUAAAGAUGAAAAAGCACCAUGUCUUAAAAUGGACAGAUCUGGGCUUUUCCUGCUACCUUGAAAAUCAUGCAAGAAUCAUGAGAAAUUCCCCCCGGUUGGAGCUGAUUGGUUUUUCAGACACCAGUAUGUUCUACCUCAAGUAAAGAGGAAUCUUGAGAAAAUGAAUCCUUCUUCAUCUGUGAAAUGAAGACAGAACAGAUAUCUCCAAUGAGUCUGUUAUUGAAUACUUCAGAAGUG
rnacentral:lncRNA from 1 species